rnacentral:rRNA from 1 species
GCAAGUCGCGCGGUAACAGAGAUAGCUUGCUAUCUGCUGACGAGCGGCGGACGGGUGAGUAAUGCUUGGGAAUAUGCCUUUGAGUGGGGGACAACAGUUGGAAACGACUGCUAAUACCGCAUAACGUCUACGGACCAAAGGGGGGGAUCUUCGGACCUCUCGCUCAUAGAUUAGCCCAAGUGAGAUUAGCUAGUGGGUAAGGGAAUGGAGUACCAAGGCGACGAGCUCUAGCGGGUUUGAGAGGAUGAUC